rnacentral:rRNA from 1 species
GACGAACGCUGGCGGCGUGCCUAAUACAUGCAAGUCGAGCGAACCGAUAAGAAGCUUGCUUUUUGUUGGUUAGCGGCGGACGGGUGAGUAACACGUGGGUAACCUGCCUGUAAGACCGGGAUAACUCCGGGAAACCGGUGCUAAUACCGGAUAGAUUAUCUUUCCGCCUGGAGAGAUAAGGAAAGAUGGCUAUUGCCAUCACUUACAGAUGGGCCCGCGGCGCAUUAGCUAGUUGGUGAGGUAACGGCUCACCAAGGCGACGAUGCGUAGCCGACCUGAGAGGAUGAUCGGCCACACUGGGACUGAGACACGGCCCAGACUCCUACGGGAGGCAGCAGUAGGGAAUCUUCCGCAAUGGACGAAAGUCUGACGGAGCAACGCCGCGUGAGCGAAGAAGGUCUUCGGAUCGUAAAGCUCUGUUGUUAGGGAAGAACAAGUAUCGGAGGAAAUGCCGGUACCUUGACGGUACCUGACGAGAAAGCCACGGCUAACUACGUGCCAGCAGCCGCGGUAAUACGUAGGUGGCAAGCGUUGU